rnacentral:tRNA from 1 species
GUUUUAAUAAUUUAAAAAAAAUAAUGAUUUUGUAAAUCAACAUUAAGGAAAUAUUAAGCCUUUUAAAACU